AUGGCUCGGUGUCUCCUCAGCGUCCCCGGCCACCAAGGAGACGAGGCCACCUUCAGCCCGGGGCAAUGGCGGCGCGGUCACGUGACACCGGCGGGAUAUUUAAACGCCGCCGUGGGCAAUAUUCCCCUUUCCCUUCGAGGCCUGGACGGGCGGCGGCCGCAGGAUCUGCAGAGUCUACAGCUGUUGUGCAGAUUACCUGACAGGGAAAAAACAAACCUAAAACCAAAAACUUCCUUCCCUGUAAAGCUUCCAUCUGUGUCCUGAAAGGUCUGCAUGGACUGUCCUGAAAUGCCAACUGGCUGUCAAUGUCAUCCAUCAAGGGUCGAGCAAGGACUCACUGUGACAGACACCCUGCCUUGGAGAGAACCUGGGCUGGCUGUACUGAUCCCAGAGUGGUGCAACCUGGCACAGCAGCAAAAUGCAUCCAUGUCAAUGCUCCUGAUAGCAGCAGUCAAAGGAACACAGGCUGGGAACUCAUGGCUCUGUCCCUGCCUCUGGGUGACCGUAGGGAAAUUCUUUAUUGCCUCUCUGCUUCAGAGUCCUCUCCCUUACCUAGAGAAGAAAUCCAGUGUACCCCCAGCUGGGUAGUUGCAACAAAGAUAGAGCAGCACAUCGCUUGGGGCCUGUGAUUUAAAACUGGAUUUUCUUAUUCUGUACUAAUUUCACUGACUAUCACAAAUCUCUAUUUUUUUCAGUCAUGCAUUUAAAAAUCAGAAUAAGCAGACUGGGGCUGGAAGGAUUAAUAUGUUUCCUUUGAUACUAGAAUUCUAGUAUUUUGGACUGUGCACUGCAUUUCUUUUCUCCAAGACUGCAUAUAAAAUGCUAUUUGCUGACUUCUCAUCUAUAUAAUUAAAGCUAGCUCUAUUAUCAGAAGGAUUCUUAUGAGGCUUAGCUGCUCUCC
rnacentral:lncRNA from 1 species